rnacentral:rRNA from 1 species
AUGGCUCAGGAUGAACGCUAGCUACAGGCUUAACACAUGCAAGUCGCGGGGCAGCAUGACGGUUGCUUGCAAUUGUUGAUGGCGACCGGCGCACGGGUGAGUAACGCGUAUCCAACCUUCCCCAUAGUAGGGUAUAGCCCGGCGAAAGUCGGAUUAAUCCCCUAUGUUGUUUGAAGCGGACAUCUAAUUCAAACCAAAGAUUUAUCGCUAUGGGAUGGGGAUGCGUCUGAUUAGGUUGCAGGCGGGGUAACGGCCCACCUGGCCGACGAUCAGUAGGGGUUCUGAGAGGAAGGUCCCCCACACUGGUACUGAGACACGGACCAGACUCCUACGGGAGGCAGCAGUGAGGAAUAUUGGUCAAUGGGCGCGAGCCUGAACCAGCCAAGUAGCGUGCAAGGAUGACGGCCCUACGGGUUGUAAACUGCUUUUAUGCGGGGAUAAAGUGCGGCACGUGUGCCGUUUUGCAGGUACCGCAUGAAUAAGGACCGGCUAAUUCCGUGCCAGCAGCCGC